UACGGAGGAUCCAAGCGUUUAUCCGGAUUCAUUGGGUUUAAAGGGUCCGUAGGCGGUUUAAUAAGUCAGUGGUGAAAGCCCAUCGCUCAACGGUGGAACGGCCAUUGAUACUGUUAAACUUGAAUUAUUAGGAAGUAACUAGAAUAUGUAGUGUAGCGGUGAAAUGCUUAGAGAUUACAUGGAAUACCAAUUGCGAAGGCAGGUUACUACUAAUGGAUUGACGCUGAUGGACGAAAGCGUGGGUAGCGAACAGG
rnacentral:rRNA from 1 species